rnacentral:rRNA from 1 species
AUACGGAGGGGGCAAGCGUUAUUCGGAUUUACUGGGCGUAAAGCGCGCGUAGGCGGUCUGUUUAGUCAGGCGUGAAAUCCCUGGGCUCAACCCAGGAACUGCGUUUGAAACUGGCGGACUAGAGUUCGGGAGAGGAGAGUGGAAUUCCCAGUGUAGAGGUGAAAUUCGUAGAUAUUAGGAAGAACACCAGUGGCGAAGGCGGCUCUCUGGACCGAUACUGACGCUGAGGUGCGAAAGCGUGGGGAGCAAACAGGAUUAGAAACCCCAGUAGUCC